rnacentral:tRNA from 1 species
AAGAAUAAAGCUUUUAGCUGAAGCGAUGGCUUUUUAAUCCAUAGAAGUUUUGUUGGACUAUUCUUA